rnacentral:rRNA from 1 species
AUGAACGCUAGCUACAGGCUUAACACAUGCAAGUCGAGGGGCAUCAGGAAGAAAGCUUGCUUUCUUUGCUGGCGACCGGCGCACGGGUGAGUAACACGUAUCCAACCUGCCCUUUACUCGGGGAUAGCCUUUCGAAAGAAAGAUUAAUACCCGAUAGCAUAAUGAUUCCGCAUGGUUUCAUUAUUAAAGGAUUCCGGUAAAGGAUGGGGAUGCGUUCCAUUAGGUUGUUGGUGAGGUAACGGCCCACCAAGCCUUCGAUGGAUAGGGGUUCUGAGAGGAAGGUCCCCCACAUUGGAACUGAGACACGGUCCAAACUCCUACGGGAGGCAGCAGUGAGGAAUAUUGGUCAAUGGGCGCUAGCCUGAACCAGCCAAGUAGCGUGAAGGAUGAAGGCUCUAUGGGUCGUAAACUUCUUUUAUAUAAGAAUAAAGUGCAGUAUGUAUACUGUUUUGUAUGUAUUAUAUGAAUAAGGAUCGGCUAACUCCGUGCCAGCAGCCGCGGUAAUACGGAGGAUCCGAGCGUUAUCCGGAUUUAUUGGGUUUAAAGGGAGCGUAGGUGGACUGGUAAGUCAGUUGUGAAAGUUUGCGGCUCAACCGUAAAAUUGCAGUUGAUACUGUCAGUCUUGAGUACAGUAGAGGUGGGCGGAAUUCGUGGUGUAGCGGUGAAAUGCUUAGAUAUCACGAAGAACUCCGAUUGCGAAGGCAGCUCACUGGACUGCAAUUGACACUGAUGCUCGAAAGUGUGGGUAUCAAACAGGAUUAGAUACCCUGGUAGUCCACACAGUAAACGAUGAAUACUCGCUGUUUGCGAUAUACAGUAAGCGGCCAAGCGAAAGCAUUAAGUAUUCCACCUGGGGAGUACGCCGGCAACGGUGAAACUCAAAGGAAUUGACGGGGGCCCGCACAAGCGGAGGAACAUGUGGUUUAAUUCGAUGAUACGCGAGGAACCUUACCCGGGCUUAAAUUGCAGUGGAAUGAUGUGGAAACAUGUCAGUGAGCAAUCACCGCUGUGAAGGUGCUGCAUGGUUGUCGUCAGCUCGUGCCGUGAGGUGUCGGCUUAAGUGCCAUAACGAGCGCAACCCUUAUCUUCAGUUACUAACAGGUCAUGCUGAGGACUCUGGAGAGACUGCCGUCGUAAGAUGUGAGGAAGGUGGGGAUGACGUCAAAUCAGCACGGCCCUUACGUCCGGGGCUACACACGUGUUACAAUGGGGGGUACAGAAGGCAGCUAGCGGGUGACCGUAUGCUAAUCCCAAAAGCCUCUCUCAGUUCGGAUCGAAGUCUGCAACCCGACUUCGUGAAGCUGGAUUCGCUAGUAAUCGCGCAUCAGCCACGGCGCGGUGAAUACGUUCCCGGGCCUUGUACACACCGCCCGUCAAGCCAUGGGAGCCGGGGGUACCUGAAGUACGUAACCGCAAGGAUCGUCCUAGGGUAAAACUGGUGACUGGGGCU